GUGGUACGCCUGCACUCCUUGUUUGUUUAUACCCCUUUUUUUUUUCUAAAGAAGAAUACAAGAUACAGCCUUUUUGCGAGGUCAGUCUUGCUGGUGAGUAGUCUGCUGUGCUGUUUCACAUGGUACCAGGUGUGGGGGAGAAUAAGCAGCUUGAGGUCAAAGGUCAAAGAGAUGAGAGGGAGAGGAGAGAUGCUGCAGUGGAUAUGUAAAAGCAGAUGCAGGAGGGCUCUCUAUACAUAAACAGGAGUCUGUCCUCUGAUGUAGAGUCGACAUGAAGAUUAUGACAUUACAACAACAUCGGUAGGCUAAAUCAAAGGAGACGUACAGUUGCUUCUUACUGUAUUUAGAGUUUAUGUUUGCUUGUCGGGGUGGGAAAGGAAGUUGAAUUUUUAACUGCCUUGAUGCACAUUUCCAUUCCUGCGGCAGACAGUGUCCCAUGUAUUCAUCUCUCCCAACAAUGGCGAAAUGUCAGCAUACUUUCAGGCUGCUCUAAAUUAAACAUUCAUCCCCUCUGAGUAUACAGCUAUAGAGCUCCCCGACAACAUUAUUUUUUAUUUGCUUAUAGAGAGGUACGACCGUGUGAAGAUCAGGACGUUUUCUCUCACUUAGGACCAGACAAAAAGGUGAAGAUGUACAUUUUCUGGUUCUGAGAUAUGCCAAAAGACAAACUGUGUGGCUGGUUUUCUGGUCACAUCCCAAACGUCCCAGGCUUCAAUAUGUGCAAUGGCCGAGAAAGUUGAAGACAAGACUUAAGAUGGGGAGGAGGAUAUUUUAUUAAUGGGGACUAUUAAUAUUCCAUCGCAGUGGGACGAUGGUGUGUUUCUUUUUGCAGAAGCAUAAUGAAUAACUGAGCGCCUCCAUGGUACCCGAUUCCUCACCAUGAAUAUUCAAGCAUUUUGUGGUGCAUCAUGGGAGUUUUGAGAGCCUCUCCUCCACCCUGUAGUGGAUCACACCCGAGCAUCUUGCCUCACUUCUGUUAUUUCCUUCCUUGCACACUCAGGCAUGCUGCUUAGGCUGGUAGCAUCUGGGGACCAGCACCUAUAGAUCUGAUCCCUGGCUCUCAAUACCAGGCCUCCACCGAGGCUGGAUUGAUUGAUUACACUGCUCUGGCUUUGUGUGGGUUUUUAAUUGAUUGAUUAAUUGUGGGCCGGAGCUGAGAUGUGAUUGAUUAUGAGUAGUCAGCAGUGGGUUGGAGUCCAGCCGUCAAAGCCAACAGGGUGAGAGGUGAGUUCUUGUGGUUGCUGUAAUAUGCUCAUUCUUUCGUCUCUGACACCCGCUGCAGCCACACUCCGUUCUUGCCCUACUCGCCUCCCUGGAGCUCCUUUUUCUCCCCACUUUCACUUUACGUGACUAUGUUCACCUGUGCAGCUUUGAAUGUUCUGUCCUUCCACGGUAAAGUGUUCAAUAAUGUCAGGUCUCCAGCAUUCAGCAGAUACAACAAACGGUUUCUUACAAACCUUAAAGACUUAUUUCUUGAGGAGCCCAUAAAGAAAAGGAAUAGAAAGGAAAAAGAAACAGUUCAAAUAUAAAGAGACGUUGGACAAAGAGAGGUGAAUAAUGGAGAACGCAUGUGACGGAGCAGAGCGAGAAAGGAGUGUGACCCCACUCAAGACAGCCUAUUCAGAAAUGACGGUGAAUAAGAGAGAAAGAGAAAUGAGAGUAAGAUAGAAAGAAUGAAUCAAUCUGAUUAUAUAGAGAAGAAAAAGUAGGAAGUGGAAGAAAGAAACAAACAAACAUUUCAACAAUAGCUGUGUCUGUUUCUCGGCGAAUGAUUUACUGUCCCUCCGGACCAAUAAAUAACAAAAACCUUUCAUUAUGUCGACCAGCUCUUCUAUUAGUCCAAGAUUAAGGUCAGUCUGGGUAUGAUGACCAAGACAAACAGCCAAGAUGCAUUUCCUCCAGUUUCAUUAGAAUCAGAGCUGUCUCAGGGCGUGUGACAGAUUAGCAGAUGAAUGAAUUAACUAAUGAACUGAAGAACUAAUGAGCAACCAAAACAGAAGAGAAAACAAGUAACUGAAUGAAUAAAUGCCUUUCUGAAUGGACCACAGAGUCUAUAGUGGAAAUGAGUCUACAAACACAAUCUGUUUCCCUCUUUUAAACCACCUUGGUUUCUUGAAGAACAGGCCGAGCGUCUUGACAGUUAAAGACUUUGUCAAAUCCCUCUAAAAAAUGGGGAUGAAACAGGAACAAGCGCCCAAUUUGCUCGACAUGUCUCACAGGGAAACGUCAGAAGUGGUUGGGAGGACGCGUGUGAUGUGUUUUGCUAAUAAAUAUCCCCGAGCUGCUGUAGGUCCAUGUUAAAGGUUAAAGCAUCGCCAAACAAACACAAACACUGGAUGCAUAAAGAUUCCUUUUUGUACUUAUGAGACUCAGGGCUAAAAACUGAAAAGGUCAAGUAUCGCUGUGUUAUCCUAUAAGAUAAAAAGUACACACCGUAAUCCUUCUUAUGUCAUUAUCCUUCAGGAGCUCAUAGCUGGAGCCAAGAUGACAGGCUUUCCUUUCCUCCUUUCAUACAUAGAUCACAGCAGACAUAUUUGAAGUUUGAGAUGUGUCUUUACUUUCAUAUAAUUACUCGGGUUGGGCAUCUUAGGUAUAAUGCUGAUUUGAUACACAUCUAGGUACAAUGUCUCCAAUCUGAUAUAUUAAAGAUACGUGUGGCAUUAUGAAGGUAAACAAAAGUUAGCUUCUUCCUUCUCCUUUUUUGAGCAUGUAGAAACCUUUAAUUUAAUUGAUUUUUGGAGAAUAGCUUUGGGUUUGGUAUUUCACAACGAGGCUCAAAGACAUGGAGGAGGCGUUUGAAACAUUUGUUUUCUGUUACACUGUAAGGACGAAUAUCUUUGCACAUGAAGAAUGCUACAGCAUACGCUAUUGCCAUUCUGCAUGUAGAGUUAUUAGGAAGCAGGGCAUGGAAGAAACUUGAAGUACUUUGCUCACCACUUAUGGAGCUUCCGGCUGCAGGGGAAUCCGAGCUGGAAGCAGGGGAGGCGGGGGCGUUAGCAGACAACUUCACAACAAUGCUGUGGUGCCGCGUAAUUAGGUUAGUGGUACUUCCUGUGAUUUUUACAGCAGCAUGGCACAGUUUUUGCAAAACUGUCUUGUCAAGUUGUCCGUCUUUCUUGUAAAACCCGUAGUGUUGCCAGACUUCAGAUUUACAACUCAGAGAAAGGUAAAUUUGCUCAGCGACUGACAUAUUUGUUUACCUUACUCCUCACACUCCUUCUGACUGUUAGUAUUCAUCCGCAGUGCAUAUAGUGCAUUUGUAGAGCUGAGUUUGUAGUGAACAUCCACAAGUCUGAAGAAAUUAUGCCCUCAAAAUGGUUUGGUUAUGUAAAAAUAAAAGUUAUGCAUUAAACGAAUCUGACUGUAUCAAUUCAAACAUACAUACGAUACAUACGAUACACCUCAAUAUGCAUUCAAAACUGCAUUCACUCUCCGCUGCUCUACCGGUGUCCUGCAUGCGUGUAACUGCGUAUCGGUAUCGGUUAACCUUCUCAUCCCUAGUAUUUAUACCUUUUAUUUUAACAGUAUUUUAAAACUAAAUGAAAACAAGUGCAGGGUUGUAGUGUCUUAGCAAGGUGGACAAUGUUAGUUGGUGGUUCCGACUGUGUAUUCUGUUCGCUGGUCAUCAGUGUUACUCAUUAGGCCACUGAGACCCAGAGUUACCAGAGUCCUGUUUUUGCAUAAUCCCGGAGCUUUCUGGAGUGUCCUUCAGAAGUAUCCUCCAGUAGCUCCAGUAGUGCUAUUGUCAAUAUGUGAAUUAUGUAAACUGAAUCUCCAUCCAAACACAAGGUUAAACAGCAAGUACUGUAUGUCUCGAGUCAUAGUAGAAAGAUAAAUUCACAGAGUAGGAAUGUUCUCUAAUUGAUUCUUUCAAACUAGUUGCAGCCUUGUCUUGAUUCCCCAUUGUCUUUUAAUAGCCUUUAGAAAGGACAGCCUCUCCUGCGUCGUCUGUCUUUGCACUUUGAAAAGUCAAAAGGGACUUAUUAGACAUUUGCACUCUUUGCACCUGGCACUUUUUGCCUUUUUUAUUGAGCAUUUAAAAGCAGGAAUGAGUCCUUAGACAAUUAAAUUUCUCUCAGUGUGCGUCUAACUUUUACUGAUCUCACUCUGAGUGAGGCGUUUGAUAUAACCGACUGCAAAGUAAACAAUCAAGUUCCCAUUUUCUGCAGUGAAACACAAACACGUCAUGAAGAUUUAUAGAUCUUAUAAGAAAGUACAAUUUUAUACCCCACCCCAACAAACCAAUUAACAAACAAAUGAUCACCCAGAGCUUUAUGGAGCUUUGCAGCAUGUUUCAGCUCAUUGUUCCGUUGCGGUCUUGUUUGAUUGUCACUGCUCUGAUUGUGUAACUUCUAGUUGCAGCAGGCAGCUGUUUACAAGCUGAAAGACAUGCUGCAUCCGUCUUUAUCUAAGUUCCACUCACUGCAAAUCAAUAAGAGGAACACACUGCCAAAAAACCUGAAAAAUCAUAGAAUAGAAAAAUACUUUAAGUCUCCCAUGAGAAUUUUACUCGAGCUGAAGACUUAAAGUAUAUUCUCUCUACUUAAGUAUCAAAAGUACUCAAGUAAAUGUACUCCAAGUAAAAGUAAAAAGUCAAAGUUAAAUUACAAAUAAAUAUAUUUUUAUUUUUUUGCAAAAUUCCCCUCAGGUAGAUGCAAGCAACAGCUUUGAAAAAUAAAUGGACACACACGUAGAGGGGCACACACACCACCAAUCAGGAGAAACAACAGUGCAUUCUCCUACAGUCAAGAAGGAACUUAGGAUGGAAGUUGGGCAUGACGAGAACCAGCAAACAGACACUGGACAUUUAUAUGGGUGCAAGCAACUGUGCAACCUGCUUGACAAUGAACAAGUUCAAUGCAAAUCAUCAUUAAGUAGAACUGUCAUAGUAACUAAGUAAAAAUAGCAGUAGCGAAGAUGCCUCUGUGAAACGUAGUAGAGUAAAAGAAUACUUUUUUUUUAUUUUUAGAAAUGUAGCCAAAAGUAAAAGUUGCAGGCACAAAAAAAAAAAAAAAAAAAAACUCCAGUAAAGUACAGAUACUUCAAAAUUAUACUCAAGUACUGUACUUAAGUAUUGCUACUUACUUACUAUACAACACCGGCAGAAAGUGUGCAAUAGCAUUGGAAGACUGCAAGUUUCAGGACCUGAGAAGUAACAAGAGCAUCACAGCGGGCAGAAUAUACUUAAGUGAAAGAAAUAAUAGCACACCGUUGAUGACAGCCCUGACCCACUAUUGGACCCCCCUCUUGCAUGCAAUUUGCAGUCUCUCAUUGAGGUUUCAUGGACAGCUGCUGGACAUGUUUCUGCACUCCAGACAGAAGACGUCCUGUCAUGUGCUUCAAUUUAAAUCAACACCAUCAGAAUACAGCCUUGGGUCAGAGCGCUGAUGGAUCUGCUGCUUAAAUUAACUCAGUGUCUGUCCAUCUGCAACUUCAUAAACAACAUUCAGCCGUUUAGUUAUUGUUGAUGUUACCUGUGUUUCAAUUUGAGGUCAAACUUUAAAAUGAUUUUCUAAAAGUUGUUCCUGUAAUUUUGCUACAUUGACAGCAUCAGCACUUUCAGCAGUUUCUUGCAUCAUUAAUUUUUCCCAGUUGUUGUCGCCUUACUGCUUACUCUUAAAAAUUUUCAGAAUUUUAGGUCAGGCUGCCAUUUGUCACCUGGAAGUCCUUUUUGUCACUUUGUUAUCCUGUGGGUUUCAUAAGAUUUCUAUUUAUGUUUAUCAGCAUGAACAAUCAUCCUUUAUCAGAGGCAGCAGAGACAUAUUUGAGACAUGGCGCAUGAUAAAUGCACGCUUCAGAGGUUUUCCUGGACAGUGAUGGCAGCAGUAAUAAGAUUUCUCACUCAGGUAGAAGUAAGGGUAAAAAAUGUUCAUAAAUAACACACCUGUUGAAAAAUGCCUCUUUGUACCAUAUGACUGUAUUGUGUGAUAAUGAUGAAAAUUGUUUGCAGAUAUUAAUUAAAGCUAUUUGAAAAUAAAUAAAUAAAUAACAUUCAGUUUUUUAUUUUAAACUUUGGGUGUCAGGCCUAGUUCAGAGGACACCAGUCUAGUUUAUUUUUAUCACUCACUAAUUGAUACAAAUUAUUUACUGAACUUCAAAAAAUCUGCAGUGGAGUUAGAGUUUGAAGAUCUUCCUCCUGAAAUACAGAAGCGCAGCAGACAUACAGUGUGGCAUAAAAGAAGUAUGAUGUGGUGUGCCGUAGCCAUGAGAAAUGAAGCAGCAGGGCCUUUUGUGCAGCUGCAUCAGGCUUUCACCGUAACCUCAGGUUAUAUGUAGAUCUGUUCAGGCCAAGAUUGUCAGCAUUCAUGUGCAAAUUUUAAGCAUAUGGAAAACUCUACAUGAGAACUGGCUAUUGCAAGUGGAUGGCACCGUGAAUUUUGCUGCGUUCCAUUUGUACUUGGAAGUUGGAUUUUCUGAGUUCCCAGUCAGAAAUUCAUCUGGAAUGCCCCUCUGAAAUCAGAUUUCCGACUUGGAAUGUUGGAUGAUCCUCACCAACCCCGACUUGACAACAAUGUCAUAUUCAAAUUCAACUUUCUUUGUAUGGCACUUUUCAGACAGAAAGAUGUCUGAAAAAAGUGCCACACAGAGGCCAGAAACAACAAUUAAAAAACAAUAAAACCAGAUCUUCCCACUCACACACCCACCCAUGGACCCACACACACAGACACACACCUACACAUACACACACAAGCGCACACAAAGUGAGAAUUUAAGAUAUAUUGUUAAAGAGAUAAUCCAAGAUGACAGUGAACAAUGAAAGCUCUAAUAACGUAUUAUUUAUUAGCACUUCUGUUUUGUUUUUGUGAAAUUAAAUAAGUGGUAUAUGUGGUUCCGUCCAACACCUAACUGUGGACAUGGUACUAUGUUGUUUGUAUGGCUAAACAUUAUAACAGCAAGCGCCUACCUUGAUUUUCAGACUUGUUUACCCCAAUGCCAUCAACUUGGGUGCAACAUCCCACUGGACAAUAGACGGCUAUUAGACGUCUAGUUUUUUUUUUUUUUAGACCUAAUUUCAACCGUCUAGAUUCUGUAUAUUUUUAGAUGGAAUUUAGAUGUCACACUUUAACCCAUUAUUCGAUAACUAUUUAUUCCAAAAAGCAACUGUGAGUUGCAUAACUGAUAUCCAAGUAGUUAACCAAUGUAAUUAUGAUAGCUGUUGAGCAAUAUACAGUGUAUUAUCUAGCCCAGAUUUAGAUUUAGUCUAAACUUAGGUCUACAUUUAGACAUCUAAAAAACUCUCAUUUUUAGAUCUGUGGUAGCCUGAGACCAUUUUAGACCAGUCAUCUAGGCUACAUUUAGAUGUCUACUAGACCUCUUUUAGACCAAAAAAUGCUCAGUGGGGUCAUUCCCGGGUUCAACUUCCAAGGUAACUAAGACUCAGCAUAUGUCCAAAGACUAUUGGCAUGCUGGUGAAUUCGGGGCAGGACCACUUUUAGUGCCCAGUGUACAUAAACUUGGUCAAGGACAGAAGUGCUGUUAAAUGUCCUGACUCAGCCAUAACUGUAGUUCAACUUCACUGUGCAUGUAAACAGACUGAAGGUCUGACAGCUUUCCUCUGAUAUGCACAAAGAUAUAAGACCCUGAAUGGACCUACUUAGAUUGCAUCACUGCUCAUUGGUACCUUCAUCCAGAAUUCGCCUUAACAACAGUCAAGUCACGUGUGAGUUUGGCCUGUGGUGUUUUUAAGAUGCUGGUUGUACUGUGGAUCAAGAGGUGCAUCAGGCUUUGGCUCUGGACAGUCUGAGGGUUCCCUGUGGGGCCUGGCAACAGACGCACAGUAACAGAGUGAAUGCUACUAACCCUUCCUGCUUCCAUUAGAGACAGAAACUAGAGGAUUACUGCCAGGGGCAAGGCUAAUGACUGUCAUGGCCACAGAAAGCCGAUUUAGGAAAACCGUGGCAGGGAGGCGUGAAGCCAAAAUCUCCCUCUAAGACCCUGUGUGAGGGGCCUUAAUAAAGGAGACACUCUGCUCUGUCGUUGGCUUUCUAAAGAGAAAAAGUUGUUAAAAUCCCAAAGAGUAUGUAAACUAGUAUGUAUCCUGUAGGGCCUUUUAAGCAGUGUUGACUGAGAGUAAGGAAACACAACCAAAAAUGUAUGCAUAUACAAAAUGGAUAACUGGCAAGUAACUUCAAGCAGAUCUGCAAACAUAACCAAAAUAUCACUUGAGUCUUUUUUUAAAAAAUCGUAGCUGAAAAAAGCAGCCCCAUCAUGAGAAAUAAUUCACUAAAAUUGAUGAGCAGCGAGUUGGAGCAUGCUCACAACAAGGGGCGACAAUGUUAAAGAAACAUGAUGGAUGUGUGUAAAGGCUAUGGCUCCAUGACAGCAUUCAAUUCAUGUUUUCACUGCAGGGUUUUGCAAAUACGAGCCUUCCUUAACUAGGACGUGAUCAUUGAAAAAAGAGGACAAUUUGAUGGAUUUUUCUUUUGGCACGUUAAGGAGCAAUGCCCAGCAGGGAAUGCAACAAGAGUCCUCACUGCCGCCAGGACGCCUUUAUAUUCCACACGACACCAUCCAGAGACACUUCAGCUCGGUGACAUUUAAGAAUAUCUGAUCUGAGGAAUUUCUUAUCUUUCACUGCUACUUCUCUCAUUCCCUCCAUUUUCUCUUUCUCUCUCUCCAUUUCUUCUGCCCUCAGAGUUGUCCUCCCUUGCUCCCUCUUCUGUCUAAAUAACAUGCACACACAAACACACAUGCCUGGGCAUUGAUUCCACUAGUUCAGAGAGUACAGGGGCAAGGGAGAGCACUCAUGGAGAAGUUUGUACAAUUGAUCUCUGGAGGGCUCGAGACGCGGGACCUUUUCUCUCCUCUGUCUCAGUCUGUCUCUCUUAUAACCUCUCACGCUCUCUCUCUGCCUAUCUACUCUCCUGCCCCUUUUGUUUCCUCUGGCUGAAUAUGCAUUUUCAGAGGAAGAGUAAAGACAAGUAUAGGAACAGGAAUAUGAGGACUUGGAGUUUGGGUAAAGGAUCUUAACUUUGAAAAAAAAAGGGAAAAAGGAAGAAAAACCUUUAUCCACAGAGGAAGCAUCCUGGUUGACUCGGCAGCAGGACUUAAGGAUGUUACACAAUGUGUGUCAGCGAGCAGAUUAGUGCUUUCUCCAGCAGCCCCUCUUUGUGGAAAUCCAGGGUGCUUUAAGAUUAAAAGAAGAGAAAGACUGUAUGUGUCCAAGCUACUUCUAAUUUAGUUAAACACUGAACACACCUGCUCCUUCUUUUCUUAUCAUUCAUGUUGUCCUAAAAUGUCACAUCCUGCAGCCAUGGCGUUUAAAAGCUUUGAAUCUUUCUUUCUGUCUCACACAUGGAUAACAUCACGGCUUUAAUGUGGGUUUACUCGCUGUGAUAAACCCACAGACAGUUGUUACCUGACUCUGCACUUCCUCACAGCUGUACCAGGCUUUAAAGUGUCAGCCAAGUCUGCUACUGACUGCACUGUUUCAGUUCACUCUCAUCGAGAACUGUUCCUGCAGCAUAAAGCUGUUUGCUGAGCAAAACCCUGCAGAGUGUAUACAUGCUAACACCAGGUGACCAUCAGAGAGGUUUUUUCAUUCUUUAGUAUGUAGAGACCAAACAUAGAAAUAAAAAUAGAGGCACUGAUAAAGCUAAACUUGCUGAUGUGUAAAUAUGACUAAAUCACAAGAACUGCAGAGGCUGUUGAAAUCUUGUUUGAUCUGAGUCUUCUUGUUGAAAGAAAAUAUGCUGCAUGACAAUAUCUUGACUUAAGGUGUUGCUAAAUGGAGUUUAGAUCACUUUCGGUUUAGGGCUGCCAACAAUCAACCAGUCUGGAUUGUUAAGAUUUUAGUCCUCAUUAGUGUCCCAUGAUGCACUAUGAGGAAAAGGCAGAAAUGAGAAGUUUUCUUGUUGAUCAUUGCACCAGCCUAGGUUAACCUUUGACCCUUAUGUAGAAGUGACAGUAUUCUUCCUUUGCAUGGCUUACCAAAAACACUGGGCCAUGCAGUAGUCGAGUUGUGAAAAAAAAUCAGGGGAUUUUAUUGAUUUUAUUGUUUGGGAUGGAUAUUUUGUUCUGAUGAAAGUGCACAUGGUGGGAAACCAACUGUGUACCCAUUUUAUUGUUGCUAAAGCACAAAGAUAAUUAUUAUAUUACAUUAAGAAAAUGAAAGGUGUCUUUUCACACAUGCCUCCUCACCCAGAGUAUUUUACUAAAAUAUGUGGAAAGCCUCCUGUCACAAGGUUCUUACUCAAACAAUCAAAAUAUUGUGAAAAAAAAAAAAAAAAACAGGCUUAGUUGGAAAAAAUAUGGUGAUGGUGAUAUUUAUUUACAGCCACCCUUUCAAGGUGCAGUGCAAAAAUAUUAACAAAAGUGCAAAAACUGGUAAAAUACUAUUUACAAAAUGUACAAGGCCAAAAAGAAAAUGCCAACAAGCCAGGAGUUCUACUGUAACUCAAGAUUCUCACUCAAGAAAAAAACGAACUGAAACACAGCAGCAGUACAAAAGUCAGUUUGGCAGUUACUGUUCAUUCAAUUAACUCAAGAUUCACACAAAGGCCCAGGCAGCCUUCUUCAGGGUUCAACUCAGGGUUCAUUUUGGUGGUGGGUCAACUGGCCAGUGUUAGUUAGUGACUUGGAGCCAGCCCUCCACUAGUACAUGACAAUAGUCUCUUUAAUUGGACCACUGUCUUUGUCCCAUUGCGCCAAGCGCCAAGUGAAAAUCAAUGCAUUGAUAAAGGUUUGUGUGCUAUCUUUCAGCUCGCUGUUAUUGGGCCAUGUCCCAGUUGACCUAUUACUUCACAUACCAAAACAUUGACAAACAAGUUAACAAAAGGUUAAAGGUUCAGAAAACUGUGGAGCAUGUGCAGAGUGCCUAGGCAAAUUUGGCUUUAACAAAGGUGUGUAUGAGAAAAAGGAGACUAAUCCCCAACCUCAAACCCCAAGGGCUCAUUUUGAGAAAUUCAGUCAGAGUGAUUUCAACUUGUUUACAUACAGUAUUUUUCCAAGUCCAGUUUCAGUCAUACUAAUGUGAUAAACUUACUUGUUUUGACAUUUUGGCCUUUGGCAUGUCUUUUGCACUUAAUCAAUUGAUGACAAUACAGUUGAUCUCAAUACUGAUGCUUAACCAUUAGUUGGAUAUUUUCAAGUAUGGAUGCCCAUAAUUGUAGCAUCUGUCCCUUUACCCUCCGGUGAUUAUCACAGUGUCUUCUCUCUGUGCAGACACCUCUUUUUGUACCUGUGAUGUUGUGGCGUCAUCACUAGUUUCAUAACCACAAAACAUUGAUUUAAAAAAACUCAAAGAGUGAACAUAAUCGGUGCAGAAGAAACAUGGAUUAUUUGGUGCUAUUUAACGAUGUGCACCGUGGGAGAUCUGUUACUUUUGAGUUGUAAACACAUGCAGGGGUCUGGACACUCAGGGUAUAGAGGAGCCGCAUUAUCCUCAGAAAAUGUUCAGGUCAGUGCUGGCAGACAAAUGUCAAUAAACACUGAUUAUCAGGUCAUUCCUAGAGACAUAUUUAGACGCAGACAUAUUUAACUCAUAAUAACCUUUGACCUUUUUUAAAGAGUUAUGAGUUAAACUAUCAAUUUCCAUAAACUCUUGGCUCUCUUAGUGGGCUUUUAUAAUCCAGUGUUUAACAUUUCGACAUAGAAAGCAGAGGGAAUGGGAGUCGAAUUUCCUACGAGGGCAUUACAGAUGAUUUUGAUUCUGAGAGAGAUACCUUAUUUUAACUUCACCCUGGUGUUCUUAAGCGAAAACACCGACUUUUUAACACUUUUAAAAACUGUAUAUCACAAGCUGCAAGGUUUUUGUGGCCAUCUGAUGUCUGACUGCUUUUGCUCUGAAAUCCUUGUAUAUUUGUGAAGGAGGGAAGUCUGGCAAAGGAUUAGGGGAGAACAGCAAACUGCCAAAAUCUGCACAGCCUGUCAGAGUUUGGAAAAGAAAGAGACAGGAGAGGAAAAAAUGUCAAGAAGGAGACUGCAAAUGAGGCUUGUUUCAAUAAGAGGAUCGAUGGGGAUGCAGGAAAAGAUGUUGUGUGCAUCAAUGAUAAGUGUCCACGGGCAAACGCGUAGGGGGAGGUUAGAGAGAGGGGGCACAUGUGAUGUGUGAGAAAUGAAGGUAGAGGUGCACAGAUACAAUCGUUUUUUGAGACAGCACAUUGUCUCUAACGAAGAAAAUACUUGGUUUGCGAAAAGAUGCUUUGUGAUAGGGGUGAAAGGGAGAUACAAAAACAGGCUAACACAUUUAAAGAAAGCCAGGAUUUGUUGUUGUACUUAAGUGCUAUUUCUUUCAAAUCAUAUUUUCUGAGAUCUGAAGCUUGAUGAUGAUUAUUUAUGGCUAUUAUAUGAAGUUGGGAAUCUCCACAGGCUGCAGCGUUAUUUUUAGGCGGUUGCCCUUUGUGUUACUCUGUUCCCUGGCCUGGCUCUUGUGUUGGGAGAUGUGAUUGUUGGGGACAGCCCUUCAGCAGUUGUGCAUGUCAUGUCGCCUUUUGGGGGAAUGCACUUUUCACUGUAGGGCCCAUCAUGGCAAACCAGCCCCAGCUGCAGUCACCCUAUUAUUGCUAACCUCUACUCCUGGAUUAUGCUGUUUACUUGCACCAUCUUUUCUGAGCUCGUAUUUUACACAUAUGUGCAUUGUGUGCUGGGGCCCUUUGUAGAAGAAUAGGCCUGUAUAUCACCAGCCUUUAUCAUCCCUGCUACUUUCAGCUUGUGUGUUGAAAAGCUGCUGACCCUGAUCCUUUGGAUGAGCCACCGAGAGCUUUUCUUCUUGUCUAGUCAUGAUGCAAUUAGUGACUGAUCGCCUCUGGAGGUGGAUCUAACAAUGGCUGAGUGUAGACUCUGUGAAUUGUGCUCACAGUUCAAAGAGUCCCUUUAAAAAGUGACGGCACUUUGAGGUUUUGUAAUAUAAUGAUUGAGCCCACAUUGUUGAAGGGUUUUAAACACAGGGUAAAAGACAAGGAGCCAAGGAGAAUCAAGCUAUCUACAACCCAAAUAGUUGCAACAGUCAUAGCAGUUAAAGUGAAGUAUAAUUGUUGUGAUGCUUUGUAAUUUGAGUGUGUCUGCUGUGUUUUUGUAUUGUUUUCUCUUUCCCAGUGCCACAGGAGCAACACACCUGUGUGCUUUCUGUUCAUUAAGCAUCUACAGAGAAUAGAGCUGACAAGGAUCUCAAUCAGCAGGAUAUUUAAAUCAGGAGCGGCUCUCCCUCUGCUUGGUUGUCAGUUAAAGCCUGGCAUAUGCUGUGCACAUUAGGGCCAAUUCUGACCAGAUAUUUGUGUUAGACGACUGAAUAUAAAGGGGCUGGAGCGCUCAACAUGACCCAGUCAGCUGCUCCUGAAUGGUCAAAUGAAUUUCGGGCAUGUCUGCAAUUUUGGUCUGUCGUCUGCACUUUUGCAGAGAGAGAGAAGAGCCACAAGUUGAUUCCCAACUUCAGGGCUUUUAUUCCUGAUUGUGCCUGAAUGGCAGACAGCACCUGAGACCACUGAAGUAAACAAAGGUACACACCAGCCAGCCACAACAUUUUCACCACAUGUGCUAUCUAAUCCGGCGCUACCACAUAUUAUUCUCUCAGGGAUCCACAGCAUGUGCCGUGUUUGUGAACAUGUGAAAAAGGUCAUGAUUGGCUUCAUUAUAAUUUCAGAAUAUGCAAAGUAAUCCUGCAAUAAGGAGCCAAAUGGAGUCCAGAGAAUUUUAUCUUUUCUUUAUUUCUUUCUUCCUUUUCUCCUAUCUUCCUUCAUUCCUUACCUCCUCAUUUUCUUCCUUCUUCUUUCUUUUUUCCUUCCCUCCUGUGUUCCUUACUUCCUCAUCUAUUCCUUUCUUUCUUUAGUCGUCAUUGCUUUCUUUCUUUUGUCUUCCGUCCCUCCUUUCUUCACUCUUUCCUUCUGUCCUUUCUCCCCUACUUUAUUUCUCCCUUCUUCCCUUUCUGCCUUUCUUCGUCCUUUCUUCCUUCUUUCUUCUUCUUUCCUUUCUUUUUUUUAUCUUUCCUCUUUCCCUUCUCUCCUCCUUUCCUCUUCUUUCCUUUCCUUCUUCGAUUCUUUUUUCCUCCUCCCUUACUUCCUUCCUUCUUUUUCAUCUUUCUUUUUCUCCCUCCCUUCCUUCUUUCCUCCCUCUCUCCGUCCCUCCCUUUAAUUUUUCAUCUUCCUUCCUAUUUUCCCUAUGUUCUUCUUUCUUCUCUUUCCUUCCUCCCUCCCUUCCUUUCUUUCCUCCAAUCUUCCUUCCCUCCUGCAACCUCCCUUUUCUUUUAUCUUUUCUUCCUUUCUUCUUUUUUAAUCUGUCUUUCCUUUCUUACUCCAACCAAUGUUCUCAGCCUGUGUAGUCUACAUACAUGAUGUUAUGUACAUACAUGACUCAUCAACACAAUCAGAUCUAACCAAACAUCCACCUUUUAACAACAUGUUCUAAGUCUUUGUCCACUAUGUCUGUGAUGAACUCUGUUACAUGUUGUAUAAGAGAACAAUCUUUAUUACGUCGUCACAGGCACUGAAAAAAAAGAAAAAAAAAACUCAACCUAUUAUGAUUGUAAAGACUGAGGCUUUCAGUAAAGACUCCAAUGCACGAGGCAGACUUGGUAGAAAUGACUGCAAGAAAAACAGGAUUUUCAUGGGAGUGGGUCUUAAGGCUAAAUUUGCCUGUUUUUCCCAUACAUAGGCUACUACUUUCCCACAGUUUUUCUUAGCUGCACAGGCAUUUCCUCUCUGCAAAUGUCUCAAAAAUAAUGACACUAACAGUCUAAUGUGACACACUCAAAUCACAGCAUCUCUCAAGAACUGGUUUAAAUUGGUAAUUGCUCGUUCUGUAAAAGCAAAUCUACUGCUGCCUGAAAAGGGAACAACAGGAUCCUUUCAGGCAAUCUUUGCUGAAUGAAGAUGGAGAAAGCAAAAGGCUCUAUCAAGUCUCAUACCCAAAGGUCCUCUCUUCUCCAUCUACUGUCUGCGAUGGGGCUCACGAGCUUGGCGUUCACACACAGGCACAUCCAUCUUCUUUUUAUCCCAAAUUACCAGCCGUCUUUGAAUCCCCCUCCCUGUAUAAAUGAAGUGGGUGUGAGAAGGCGGGGAAGGUGUGCGGCUGGUAGAUCCUAUUAAAGGUGUUGCAUUGAUAAUCAGUGAGGAGACAACAAUGCAUGGGAUAAGAAAGAGACGGAGAACAGGGAGAACAACAGAAACGUCUCAAUUCCUCGUGGCAGGAUGCCCUUGGGAGGUCAGAGACAGUGAAAGCAGUGGAAGAGAGAGAGAGAGAGAGGGGGGCGAGAAAAGAGAUGGAGGAGCAUGUUGAGCCUUCACAGAUGUAGGAGUGGUGUCGCUUUGGUUUAUUUCCAUCAGCGUGUUUGGUUGGCUAGAGAGGCAGAUCCACAUGUGUGAGCUGAGUGAAACUUCAUGUUUACGUAUAGGGAUAACCAUUUUCAGCACUCAAUCUUCUUCAGCCUGUCUCUUAAGGAAGCGAGGAACUACAUCUUUAUCAAUAAUAGAACUCACAUAUAUUUCACUUGGCCUAUUUAGUUACAAUAACCCUAUAAUUCAUCUGCAUUUGCUGGAUCCCCCUCAGGAUUUUGGCUGUCUCUGCUGAGGAGGGAAUACAGUAUGUUUCCUUGUAUAUUUUCACUCAGGUGAUUGUCUUGUUUGUAUCAGGUAUUGUGCUCGCAGUGCAUUCCUGUACAAACCCCACUCUGCAGCUAUCUGUAGGUUAUGCAUCAACAAUGAGCAGAGCUAGCUUUGACAGGGGACUGGUUGCUCGGAGGGUGCAGGCCGUCUGUCAUCCCUCCAUAGGAUCAUCUCCACCUACUUACAUCUUUGGCCUGAAGAAGGAGCACACAGGAGGAGGAAUGAGGGAGAGGAGGAUGAUUGUGAUGACAGAGGACUAUGUAGCAUGUCUUCAGUACUGUUUGGGUUUUGUCUCUGUCCUUGUAGACAGGAGACCGUUGUAACAACACCUUAAAUCAAAAACCUUCUUUUAGUUUCAAUUUCACUCUAAAUUGGCCAUAAUUUCCAAAAACAUCAUCGUUCUGAAUCCUGGUAGACUUGAAACCUGCUAUUACAACCACUAAUGAGGCAAUGUUAACUGAUGUAAUAAAUCAAAUGAGAAGUAAAGUCAUUUUUUUAGUCUGCUGCAAUACAUCUGACUUAUUUUUGCAGUCAGUGGAGUCACCUCCUGUUGGCUAAUGAAAAAUUGGAGGUCUGAGAUACUUUUUACCUUUUAGUGAGAUUUCUCUUUUGAAACCAGAGGCCACACAAAGAAUUUAAUAAAACAUCCAACAUUAAAACUUUAAGACGAAUGUAUUCGGUCUUUAAUAAGAUUCUCUUCCUUUUUAGAGUAUUAUUUUAUUUAUAGCAGCAUUUAGAAUUAACCUCCAUGUUAGGGGACUAAAAUCUGAGGGUAUAUGACCGCUUAAUCACCAAAUUAUCAAAAUAGAAAGGAUCAUCACAUCAGAAGUUUCUAGAUGUAAGAGCUCAAGGUCUCUUUGGAUGGACUCUUGGGAGUGUUUUGUGACCCCUCCUCUCGUCUCAUCGUGGAUUAAAAAAGCUCCCAUGAGGCUAAGUUUUCCUUGUUGGGAAGUUGACUUGAGGUGAUGUGGGAUCAGGGAAAAAAAAGAGGAAGCAUUUGGUACUUGUACAGGAGGUAUUAUACACACCCUGAUACACUGCAUGCUAGAGGAAACACACUGAGCCUAUGAGCUGGGCUUUAAUAGAUGCGGGCGUAAAGGCUUUAUGUAAUCAAACAGCCUGAGACAGUAAGACAGCUGCAAACACACACACACACACACACACACACACACACACACACACACACACACACACACACACACACACACACACACACACACGAGUAGACAAAACCACCAAAGUUGAAUAUUUGCUGUAACAAGAUAACUUAAGCUCCUUUUAAAUAAUGUGUUCAAUUACAUCGAUAAAAUCAUUCAUCAUUAAACUUUAGGAGAAAAUUUGAAUUUAACUUAUUUAUCUAAUAAUACAUUUUAAUCUUGCUAGAACUCAUCAUAACUGGAUGGUUAUAAAUAACACAUUAAAUCAAUUCUUUUAGAGCAAAUAAAAUGAAACACAUCUUAUUUAUACACACUUAGACUCUUAUGAUAUACACAGGGAUUUAUAAUAGUGUACUUUAGGCCAUGUAUUACAUCGACUAUGUACAGUCUAUGGUUACAAACUAAAUAAAUGCUUCUUACAUUAACCUUGAUCAACAAACUCUUGACCUGAGCAAUGUCUUUGCUAGUAAACUGCUUCAACACAGCCAGGUGGAAAGAAAGCCACAUAACUUACCGUAGAGGUUGUAAUGAGCCCUUUGAUAGCAGCAGAGCUGAAGAGACUUUUCACUUGAAAGCUACUGUGUCGUUUACUCUGACUAUUUAUAACAGAAAUAUCACACAAUGGUUUCUGAAGAGGUGUUGAAGAGGUGUCAGUCCAGAGAGGAUGGUCGUCAUGCUGUUACCACUGUCCUUAACUAACUUCUAAAUCUGCAGAGAAGUUAAAGCCAGCUUUAGCACCUGGCAAACAUCUGCUAUGUGCCCACCUGCUAGUCAAUUUAGACACACCCCUGUGCCUCAUUACACAUAACAAGUAAAAUGGUAAUUAUUGUUGAUGAGAACUUAAGAGGUGCUAAUACUUAUGCUGAGUCUCCAAUUAGCAGGGUAGCUCCUUGAACCACAACUCCCAGGGUCAUACUUGCUCACAUACCAGCAGUUGCCUUCAAACUAAUUAACAAAUACAAGAUUGAUUUGCAGAGAUUCAGAAAAAACAUUAAAAUUAAAUGGAGCAUGUCACUCGUUUAAGUCCAGGGAUUAGUGUUUUAAACCUUUUUAACAGUCACAGGAAAAAAGGGAGCAGCUCCUGUUUAUGGUCUUCUUCCCCCAGCAAAUGCCCAUACUGUGUGUGCAGUUUGUGUCUGUUUUCUUCAAUUUGCUUGACGUCCCUCAGAUUCAGUUUCCUCCUCCAUCCAACACAUGACAUGCAGCUAAUUCCUGAUGGACUGUAUUAAAUAUGCACUGGAAUAACUCAAUUUAUCUACAUUCAUGAUUAAUUCAUCUCUUUGCCAAGUUGGGAGGGGCAGAGUGUGAGGGGCAGAGCGCCUGUCUUUUACUACAAAGAUUUUAAAAUAUAUAAAUGUAUUUAUAUUAAUAAUUUGUCAUCUAAUUAAACCCUUAUCUUACUGAUUAAUUUUUGGGAUAUUAUUUGCAGGAUUAAGAUGAUACUUUCAGAGAUCAACAAUAUCAACAUUUAAUACUCAUCAUUUACAGAGUCCCACUCAUCCCCCUCUCCUUUCACCUCUAAAAUACACUAUUUAUCAACAUUACAAGACAGUUGUGUUUCCAGGAAUGAAGGUCUUGGUCAUCCAAACCUGACUUUAAUUUUGUUUUUCACUGAAUGUAAACUGAAGGCUGAAUCACUGGGUUGUAGCACAUAUCUGCGCUCAUAACUGGACCAGCACACACUGAGCUUGCUGUUGCAGUAAAGGUGGUUGUGUGUUUAAUAGAUUAUGAUCUCUCGGCUUCAGCAGAAAAGCUUAACCUUUAUUUAUUUAUAUAUUUUUUUAAUCUGAAACCUGUAAUCAUGAAACUAAAAGUCAGAUUUGCACCCAAAGGCAAGAAAAUGAAUUUUCUAUCAGUAAUAUAAUUUCUCUGUUGAAUGUUAGGAGGAUUUUAUUCUAUUCCUGUUGAGGUAAAAAAGAUGUAAGGGCACGAAUAGAGAGGGAAGUCGACAGACAACAACAUGGCAUUAUAGUUUUCCUCACAUCUGUGUUGGACAUUCCAGACCACACACUGUGUUUUUCUCUGUAAAUCAGACAUAAUACUCAGAGUUAUCUUAUAUUGAUGGACUAGACAUAGAUGGCAUUAUGUAUUUAACACUGUGUUCCAGUGUGUCUGUUUGAAAGCAGUAGUGCUGCCUCUCACAGUCUCACAUCCUUUUGUCUAACUGAGGCUGGAAAAAGCAGAAGUCACGAGGGAGUUGUUGCGUGGCUUUAGCUUAACUGGAUGAUUUCCUAAUGAUUUCUGAUGGAAGUAUAAAUGCUGGAUAAUGCUGAUCCCCUAGAGACUGUGGCAUAGGAUUAAAACAUCAGGUGGCUUUGUUGUGGAGGCUGAUUCUUUAAUUCACGGCUUUCUUUUAUUAUUUGAUUCAAAAAUAAAACUGUAUAAAGAAUCAGGCAAUAAUUAAAAUAUACUUACACAGUGUGUGCAAUGCAUUUUCUGACAGUGAGAUCACUUUCUCGUCAUGAUUUAAUGAUCUGUUGACAGUUUUUGACAGAAGGUUGACUGCUAAGAAUACAAAUUUUCAUCUUUAGACGAAGAGAAGUAAUAACUGGCUCAUAUUUAUUAAGUAGUUAAAGGGGAUAUUCCAGUGAAAAUUGAAGUUAUGGUCAAACACACCAUAACACAGAGUAAGAUGCAGUACAAUAGUAAGACGCAAAGUUAGACGCAGCAGUAACAGUACUUGCCUAGUUUCUUAAGCAAAGAGACUAAACACAACUCACCCACUCUCCUCCAGCAACUCUCCUCCACUCUCCUGUGGGGGAAACCCUGAUGAGUCGAUCACAGAGUGCAGCGGAGUUUCGCAGCUAAAGGAAGAACAUUAAUGAUUAUUACUUCAUUGCAAACUCAAUCAGACUGAGACGCUAAGGCAGAAGAAAUACCACGUCUGCAGUGCAAAAUGAUUAUUAUGAUGAUUCCCACUGAGCAAUAGACAGCUAUUAGACGUCUAGUUUUAAACCUAAUUUUAGCCGACUAGAUUCUGUAUGUUUUUAAACGGAAUUUAGAUGUUGCUCUUUAACCCAUUAUUUAGACCUGUAAUAGUCUGAUUUUAGACUAGUAGUCUAGGCUAUAUUUGGAUGUCUAUUAGCCCUCUUUUAGACCAAAAAAUGCUCAGCGGGUUAUUACUUCAUGGAAAUGAUCCGCUGCACUCAGUAAUCAACUUGUCAGGGCUCCCCCCACAAACAAACAACUGCUGGAAGAGAGUGGAUAAGUUGUGUUUGGUCUCAUUGCUAAAAAAAUUACGCAAAGCUAAAAUAUUUGGUUUCUAGUACUUUGGCUGGGACCCUAUAUGUACUGUUGAUGAAAUUAGGUGCUAUAGAGUGGUUUUUUGGUUGAGGUUUGCGCAUGGAGACAUAGACCGCUGUGUAUUGCUAUUGUGCAGUCGUUACUAAAGUUGGUAUAACUAGAGAAGCAAUCAGUCGGCAACAUUCAUCUCUCGAGGGGGUGUCUAACUCGGUGUUACGGUGUAUUUGACCAUAACUUAAUUUUACAUUGGCAUAUCCCUUUAAUGUCUUUCUUAAAACCUGGGAAACAUCCCUCUCCAUGAACAUUAUGUCGCAGGCCCCAUUAGCUGUAAUUCUCUCUUGUUUGAGUCGAUGCAUAAGGCUCCCAUUGUAUGUCAGUCUGCAGAAAUGCAGCCGCUUUGUGGGUAUUGUUUCCCUUGGUUAAAUACCAGUGCCAUAGGAUGGCUCUGUAUCCUUCAAUUAAUGGAGCUAGGUGUCAUCUUGAAUCUUUCAGCAUUCCUGUCAGCGUUCGCUGGUCUGAACGAGUUGCAGAUUGAAAGGGUUUGACAUUUCCUGCUUCUCAUCUUGGAUACAUGGACUGUAAUUACAGAAUGAUGCAGCAGAUAAGUCAGUGGCACUAAAAUAUCUAUUUAAGUAGAUUAAUGAGCCUUGUGACAUUUGUGUGAAGUUGAUAGUUAAGGAUAUCUUCAAACAUUGGCAGAUAAAAAUGUGUAGCCCAAUUGAUCGCCUUCAUUGAUUUUCAUGCAAGCCGCCCUUCACUGUCUCCACAAGUCGCCCAUUAGCUGAUAUGUGAGGAGAUGUAUGUUUGACUCUGCCGAGUGUGACUGUAAGUUUUCUUUUCUGCCCCUCCUGAGUUAGUGGAGCGUGAUGCAUGUGCGCGGCAGCGAGCUGUGCCUCGGCUCUGACACAAAUGCUACGACACCCUGCUCUGCAAAUGUCACUCCCGUCCAAUUAAAUGGUUGAGUGAUGCCAUUUCCCACGAGGGAAUCCCACCAAUAAAGUUCUCUGUUUGCCAUCAGCUUUGUUUCCUGUUUUAGCUUCUUUUCCGGACACUUUAUAGACAGGGUUUCUGUUCGAGCUCGCCCCUACAGUACACUGGUGACAGAGAAGACAUGUGAGCUGAUACAGUACCCGGUUUCAGGCUGCAGAAUCCUCACCAUGUUUCCACGACUCUCUUGGGUCAUGUCUGCGCUUGAUAUUCAUUUGCAAGUAGUUUUGACCACCUACACGUUGGCUAUAUUUAAAACAAUGUCAGUCUGAAGUCGGCAGUGUUGACUUUACUUUGAUUAUUGGUUGCUCUACUCGCUGUCGAGCACCCACAUGAUGCCGCUCAGCUGCAGUGAUGGAAUUCAUCCCUACAGUAUUAGCCCUGCUGCCUGUUGAUGGAUUAUGAAUAUUACCUCAGUUAUUUUCCUCCACGAUUGCUAUUCUCAGUUUUCUCUGCUGAUACUGAUGAUGUCUUUUGUUUCCUUGGUGAUUGAGCUAAAAAUUAGUUUAACAUUUGCCACUCCGUUGUCUUUAGGUGCAAAGAUGUACAGUAGGAGUGUGUUGUCUUCUUGGAUUAUCCUCAAGAAACUUUUAUUCCGAGACAUUUAGAGAUCUUAACUUUUUAUCUAUUUUUUUAUACAUCAUAACUUUCUAUAGAGACGCAUGGGAGUAUAUAAAUGCCCUAUUUGUGUGGUAAGCUGCAUGGACGUCACGGAGUACAUACUGUAAAUCCACUGGUUUCUGCGAGGGAGAAAAAAAAAAUCAUUUCUAACACACUCAAAACUAUAGCAUUUUGUUCUUGGCUGGCUUUCAGAGCAAAGAGGGGUUAUUGGCUGAGGAGGAAUGUGUGCUUGUGUAAAUCCCUCAUUACCCGCCACAGCCAUUUCCACAUAUUAAUUAAGCCAAGUUAAAAACCUGCUGCUGGUAGAAACUGUGCCAAUCUGUCACUCUAACAACGAAAAGAUAAGGCGGAGGAGAAAUGUGCAGGCUGUCUGCAUCUCCUUCCACUGAAGUUCUUAAUUGGUGAACUUACAUAAAUACUAACAUGUGCUGCUUGGAUCUGGAGGCAGAUUCUACAGAUGCUAAGCCCGGUGCUGCCCUUUUCUGAUGGAGGAGGAUACACGUUUCACACCCCGCACUAAACUCAUUAGCCGAAGUCCUUCACACUUUGGCAUGAAGAAACUCUGCAGGAAAGUGAUCUGAGCUCCAUGUUGAGCUUUUUUCCCCCCUCACAUUUGGCACUGUUAACUCCCCAUUUAUUCCCUGUGAAACUCAGACUUAGAAAUAGAUUCAGACAGUCAUUAGAAAGGGACAGGCUAUUAUGGGAACAUUGGAAGUUUUUAGCUCCCUAAAAGGAAUUUGAUGUUCAUUCCAGCAUGUUAACAGUCCCACUCUCUGAGACAGGCUGAGCACUACAUUACGAGGGAGUGUUUGGCAGAGGGGCUUCUCUAUGGGUCAGUGGGUAAAGCCAAGGAAAUGCUCUGAGUUUGACAUGUAUUCAGGGCAUGUCCUCCGCCUCUGAGUGCUCUGUGUGAGGGUAGUUCAGAGGCCACAAAUGCCACUGUUUAAAAAUGAAUACGCUCUAUAUCUGCAUAUCUACAUGCGAUGGCUUGGAGAACAUAUUCUGCGAGUAUUAUCAGGCUAAUAUUGUGAGACUGUGUUCAAUGAGCCAAGCGUGGAAGACAUUAAGCAGUCCAACACUGUUAUAUUUUUCCUCCAACUUGUGAAAUGUUGGCUAAUUGACAGAGCAAAGGCCUUGCUCAAACACCUUGGGACAGCUAAGCUUUCUGCUAGUUUCAGAAAAUAAAGCGCAGCAUUUAUUUUUGCAGCCUUGCUGGAGCGCCAUAAGAGCUGAAUUUAGAAAAGGACAAAGCAUUUGAAUAUGAGUUUGACGAAAAGCCUGCACUGGAAUAAAAAAGCUGCUGCUGAAGGAGGAUAAGAUGAUCUAUUUCAUACAUUAGACUUUGGGUGCUAUAGCUGUCAAACUGAAAGUCACUCUGAUUAACUCUCUAUUAUUUAGACUAAUGCUCAACUGGUUACAGUUUUUCAGCAGCCGAUGCUCACACAGAUAAUGAGAGAGCAGGCCGGCCCAAAGCAGAUUUAUUAUGUGAUAUCACUUUUAUUUUCUAUAGUUGUCAAAAUAAAACAAUGUUAUAAUACUUACAAAUGAGAAACAGGGUUGCUGAACUUGAAUACACAUUUUACAAAAGACAGAAAAUUAUCGAGAUCGACAGGCGGAUCGGAGCGGAGUCAGCAGUGAUGCGUACACUCAACCGAUCUGUCGUGGUGAAGAAAGAGCUGAGCCGUAAGGUGAAACUCUCGAUUUACCGGUCGAUCUACGUGCCGACCCUCAUCUGUGGCCAUGAACUUUGGGUAAUGACCGAAAGAACAAGAUCGCGGAUACAAGCGGCCAAGUUUCCUUCGCAGGGUGGCCAGACUCAGCCUUAGAGAUAGGGUAAGGAGCUCGGACACUCGGGAGGUGCUCAGAGUAGAACCACUGCCCCUCCAUGUCAGCUGAGGUGGCUCAAGCAUCUGGUUAGGAUGCCUUCUGGAUGCCUCCCGUUAAAGGUGUUCCAGAAAAUGUCCCACUGGGAGGACACCUCAUGGUCGGCCCAGGACCAGGUGGAGGGAUUAUAUUUCCCGCCUGGCCUGGGAGCGCCUGGGAAUCUCCUCAGAGGCGCUGGUGGAAGUGGCUGGGGUGAGGACUGUCUGGGCUCCCCUCCUGAUGCUGCUGCCCCCGCGACCCGGACCCGGAUAAAACAACGACGACGAUGAGAAAAUUAUCUUUCUUUGUAAAAUAUUGCCAUAAAUGAAUCUGGAUGUUUGCCUAGCCAUCGUAGAUGGUUAAAAACGGCAAAGAGACAGCAUGGAAAAGGUCUUGAAAACUAAACUGGAAUUUUGUUUUAAAGUGGUGUACGUGGGACAGAUGUCACCUCAAAUCCAGGGUUUAUCUAAAGCAUAUUUGUAUAGAGUCAUGUUGGUGGCUAGUAAAAAAGCUGAAACAAAUACGUGGCUCUAUCAGAGAUCACCUUCAACAGCAGACUGGUUGAAGGUAAUGCAUGAUAUAUUUGUUAUGGAAAAAAAAUGACUUUAACAUUGAGAUUGAAAAGUGAUGUGUUUGAGGACUGUUGGAGAAGUUGGACAGGGUUUAUCACCACUUCAACCACUCAGAUCAGACUUUAGGUAAAAAUCAGCAGUAGCUAAACUGUAAUUCCCCUGGUUCUCUGCUGCACAAGUGUUAUUCAAUAUCUUUUGUAUAUUUUUCCUUUUGUUUUCUUUUCAUGUUUCUGUUCUUUACAGCAGUUUGCUUUGACUUGAAUUGAUGUACACCAAAUGAGGAUGUUCAAAAUUUCUAAAUUAAAAGAAAAUUAAAAAAAGAAAAAGAAACACGCCUUAUAUGUUGUAUUUAUAAUAAUAAAAAAGAAAAUCCUGUUUAAAUCCUGUAUUUUAUGCACAUUAAAAUCUAUCUUAGCUAUUAGCAUGUUUUAGAUUGAGUUUUAAUUAGCUGAUGAAAAUACAAAUAAAUUGGGUUAUGCCGUAUGUGCAAACAGGAAAAACAAUCCAGAUAGGAGUGUUUUUAUGUGUUAUGUCCAAAUGUAAGAAUAUUGCCAAGUCUAAUUUGAAAACCUGUACCCACAAAGUUGGUUUCAUGUAGAUGUAAUUACUUUCUUUCACUCUCCAAAUUAUAAGAACAGCAGAGGACAAGCUGACCCGAGUGAGCUCUCACAGAGGGAAUAAAUCCAUUUACAGAAAAGUCUAGAUGAGGCUGCUUUGUGCUCUGCAAGAAGACUUACUUUAAUAGUAAGAAAUGGUCAAAGUAAACUAAAUAUCAAGGAGAAGUAAAAACUUUAAGGUGGCUGUGAAUCAACAUUUCAUAUAAGAGCUGUUUACCAAACACAGAGUAUUAUAGCAGGGGUUUUGCUGCCCAGACUUUGAUGCACCACCAGGCAGAGAGGAGAUUUUCUUUCCGUCUUUGAGCUCGUCUAGAAAUGUUUUUGCAGACCUCUUUGCAGAAUCCCAGUCUGUUCCUGUGAGGUCAUUAUUUAUUUGUCUUAUCAGCUCAUGUGUCAGGACAAUAUUAGCACCAUAUGAUGAAUGAUAUCUUUGUUAGAUGAAGCUGAAAGACAGCUCAAAGGGCUUUCUAAUAUUUGGGGUUCCAAGUUAUCUUCAGCAUAUGCGGCUUAUACAUUACCAACAGGGGUGAAAACCUCGGGUCAAUGUUCCUGCAAAAAAAUGUGAUUGAGUGAAACCACAUUAGGCCUGACUUUAAGAUUAAAAAGCAAUGACUUGUACAGGGAGCUGAAGUAGACAAAUGCAGCGAGUCCCUGAGGGGUUAGCAAGUGUCUGUCAACUGUCGGUCUGCAACUCAGCCUCCAGCCUUCCUCUGCUCUAUCAACUCGCCUGCCUUCAAAGUGUCAAGUCAGGAAAAAGUUGCUUUACACAGAGGAGAGUUUACUCAGUGGGUGCAGCUGGAGCCUGAAAAAUAAUUAUUAAAGACCCACUCUGAUUAAAAUCAUGUUUUUCUUGUUUUUUUUUUAUAUGUUAAUGUGGCAUUUUUCUGAUGCUACAGGACAUAUCAUGAGAAAACUAAGUGCCAAAUUGCAUUUCUGAGUAUUUUUGCAGUCAAAUCGAUGAGAAUCUCUGGUAGACCCAAACGGCAGGUUCAGACACAGUGAAAUUUCCUACGUAGUAAAUCCAAGCUCCGCCCCCGAAGACCCGCUAUGCAGGGGCAUGUGGAAAAGUAGGGAGGAUGAUCAGACCAAGUGUGUGUUAGCGGAUUGCAUUGCUCAUAAGAAAGCUAAUAAUGAUAUUAGCUUCGAUCAUGUCCCUAAACACAUUAGUGUCAGAGAGUUGAAUCACUCCUGCUUCUUCUACCACACCGGCAAUGUUAGGCUGCAUGCUAGCAUUAAGAGGAGUGUGCAGAGCAGCGCUGUCUCCGCCCAUGACUCAGAGGUGAAUUGCGAAUGAGCUACUGGAGCUCUGCAGAAGAAAAGCCCUUGAAAAUGACACAUGUAACGUGACUUUGGCUAAAAACUUCAUAAUCACGAUUAAAACAUCACAAAAAGAAAAGAAAAGAAAAGAAACAAUUGAAGUGGGACUAUAAGGAGGUCCUUAUUUUUGGUUAAGAUUAGAAGACAGAAAAGGAAAUAGACUGAUAAUAAACCCAACUUGAUUUCUUUCAUGAUAACUCUUUGUGUUAUCCCUUAAAUUUGAUAUUAAAUUGAAGACACGUGACAAAGGGCCAGAUUGUGCUCACUUUCAGGAAACUUUCACCUUCAUCUGUCUUAUUAUGUAUGUUCAAAGGUGUUUGUCGAACAGAUCUUCUUUAACCAUCAUCCCUUGGUCAGUUGUUUGAUGCUUAAAUUUGAAUUGUACUUAAUAAUUUUUUAUGAAGACAAACAUUGUAUUCCAACAAACACUUACCUGGAGCAUAAAAGUUCCAUCUGUUUAACAAGUUCAAGUAGUCUGAGAGCCUCAAGGUCUUUUUAGCCAUUUCAUGUAGCCUCUUCUAACAGCUCAAUAGCCCUUAUUGAGCUCCUCGGCAUCUAUUUCUAGUGGAGUGGCUCCCCGCCUCUCUGUACACAAUUAUUUGUCCUCAUCUGCAAGAGUUUAAAUCCUUGAUUAAAACCUUUUGAUAACAGAAGUUUUGAGCAGCAUGAAAUUCAGCUGAAAGAUAUUUUCGCUUGUUUGGUGUCAAAACUUUGACAGGCCAUAGUUUCAUGCAUCAUUUAUGUGAAAUAUCCUCUAUCAAAAAAAAGCCUGUUGUUGCACAAAAAUUGGUAAAAUGUCUGUCAACUGGUAGGGAUAUGUUUUAAUCCAAUGUAGUAAGAGCAGUAUCCAUAAUUUCACCGUAUAUCUGUCCUGAUCUGCUUGUUGCACUUGUCCCAGAGAUUCGUCUGUUCUAACGUUACACCUUGUAAAACGAUUGGUUAUCAGGCUACAGAGUGUGCUCCUUAUUGCUUAUCAGAGGAUGCAAAGUCUAAAAAUGGUUAUCACAGUGAGAAAGCAGUUUCCGAGCGCAGUUAGCUGAGAUUAGACUUUUGAUAGAACGGCAUAUCAUGUAAAUACACCCAGGGCUGCUGCACUUCUGAGUUUGUUUGUUGUUCUGCUAAACUGAUAACAUGCAUAAGAAAAUCAAAUUAUUAUGAAGGAGUUUGGAUAAUUGAAAUGAGUUAGUUCUGCAAAAAUGAAAUGAAUCCAGAUGGCUAAAAACAACCACUUGAAUCAUAUUUGAUUCCUAUAGUAGUUCUAUAGAACAAGGUUGUAUGUUUUUCCCAUAGCCUGUAUAUAGAACAGAUGCUGUCUGCCUCCUAGUUGGGUGAAGCCUCCGUGAGAACAGCACCCUCUGGUGACAGGCUGCGGUAUAGGUCACUUGAAGGUCAAUAUACAUUUUUCUCCUCCCUGCUUGCGAUGUUGACAUGUAGUUAUUGUCAGACUGAUUUGUGCUCAAGUCCUCUUUUUCUGUACAACUCCAUUUUUAAAAGUUAGGAGGUUCAUGUUUUCUAUGAUUGACACUUGAUACAUGCUGUGUAUGCUGUAUGCAAUAUGCUGUGUGUGCGGAGCGUCAUCACCAUAGACUAUAUAUACUAUGGACAACUUGGUUUGCCUUCCGCCAGUAUACGGAUUUGAAGCCGAAAAGCUCUCGGUAACUGUUUUUUCUCUGCUUCCUGAAACCAACAUUGCGCAGUAGUGUUGUAAGCACUCCACUACUUGCGCAGUAGCAUUGUGCGAAUUCGGUGGGAGAGACGCUGAGAUUUGCUGUGAUGACGCUCGACUGGUCAUUCAACCGCGAGGAUCUACAAAUAACAUGUUUUUGUUUUCUUCAAAAAAUCUUAUUGAUUGCAUUGGUAGUAAUGACAAAGCAUGAACACUUUGUAAAGCUCUAACAGCGCAGACACUCUAGAGAUGUUGUUGCUGAGAAGGACCUGGCUGCUGACACAGAGGACCGCAGUAAGCUUGUGGGAAGCUGAAACUUCCGAAGGUGUAAGACAUCAACCUCGACAUCAAUCGUACAACUCAGCAAGCACCAACAGAGAUCCAACUGCACAUGUUCGGAGCUGUGCUUCAAAUGGUUGAUUCUGAACUUUGCAAUUUAUGAUUUAACUGUUAAAGUUUGUGAAAACAGCAAGAGGAGAAAAUUUCACAAGAUCAUGGAAAUAGCUGAUAUUUUUGAUAGCAGCUGUGAUGAAAUUUGGUGUGCGCAGAGCUACAUCAUUCAUUUAACCAGAAUAAUUCCUAACAGCAGGUUGAAAUGCAGACUUCUUGAAGUCUGUUUACUCUUUAUUGUUAAACUUUGUUAAAUAGACAUGGCGAAAACAACUUUAAUUGGAGGGAUCACCUUAUUUUCUAAUAACAAAGUGGAGGUCAAACUUCUUACGUGCAUGUGCUUGCGGUGGUCUGAUGUGUCUGCAAACAGGUACUCUUGACUCCGUCUAAAAAUCACCUCCAUUGAUUUGUGCACAUCUUUAGAGUGUUGGUUUUACCAAAAAGAUGUCUAAAUUUAAGACAACAUAUGAUCACAUUACUUCUCUUAUUUGCUUGAUGCCUGAAAUGUAUAAUAAAUCCACAAUAGUCUCAUUCAUUUCCUUGUGCUAAUUAUGAACCUGCUGCCAGUAGUUGGUUAAUUAUGAGAGCAAACAAGAUCUAAGUUUGCAUUAUAAACUUCUUUUUGUGAGACUCUCUAGACUCUAUGCAAAUGUAAGUUAGCCAGCUGCAGGCAAGAGCUUCCUAUUAGUUUACAGACGUAAUUGUAAUAUCAAACUUUUCUUGGCAGGAAAAUGAAUGACCUUGUUUUGCAGAAUAUCAAGGGGUUUUCUUUCUUAAUAAUCACAGUUCUUGUAAAAAUUUUUACCCAAAUUCUCAAACAAUAAAAACAACAUUUUGGAUUAAAUUUACCCUGCACAUGUCCGGUUAAGUUACUGUAAGUUGUGUCUGUGAUUCACUCAAGUUUUCAUAGGACCUGAAAUGACAUAGACACAUUUCUGCUGUUUGUUAUCUUUGCUCCCCAGGUAUAAAGUGCCGUCCUGACAUGGAGGAGCAAAGAGUGAUCUCUGAGUGGAGGAGCGGGAUGGAGAGAAAAGUUCCAAGUAGCAGAAGAUAAAAGAGGAAAUGUGAGACAGGAAGACAUGCCUUAGGUAAUGGGAAAGCCUUCAAGUGAGACAGUAAUCUGGGUAAUAUGUCAAACUGCUUUCAGCUGGGGAGCUUGACGCUUUCCCAAUUAAGCUUGGGUGCAAAGGCAGCCUUUUUCCUAAUUGUUUAACAUGUAGCCGAGCGGCCAACUAGCAUGACCCACACGCGAGUUCUGUAGAUCACAGCGUGGUGAUUGACGCGGACGUCCCUCUAGGCUGUCUGCACCAUGAAGUUCAUCAGCUUCCAAUUCACAUGUGAGGAAAACCCAGUUGCUCCAUUUGAAAUGAGGAGCUGAGGAGGGAAACAGAGGAAUAAUGAAGCUGUUAUCAAUACUGAAGGUUAUCAGACAUGGGCGGUUUUGAUGGAGCCCAUUUAUCUUCAUCAUGACUCUAAAGAUGUCAUUCACAGAUCUGUUACUCCCCUUUCAUUAACCAUAUGGACCCAUUCAAGGAGGCGCGGAUGAACCUGCUCAUUUGAGGUCUUCAUUCAGGCAAAUAAAAAGCUUCUCCUCCUGUCUGCUCUUUGUUCCUUUAAACCCUGCAGUGUGUUCAGCCAUUGUCACAGAAGCUGUGGGGCUCAAAGAGGGGAAAUGUCCAGUUUUGCGCAGUCCUCUGUCUCCAGCAGUCUUCCAUUUGAGAGGCUGAUCGCUGCUGAGUUUCACUGUUUGGCCAGCUUAAUGAAACCUUGAUUUCCCAAACUCC